rnacentral:rRNA from 1 species
UAAGCGACUAAGCGUACACGGUGGAUGCCCUGGCAGUCAGAGGCGAUGAAGGACGUGCUAAUCUGCGAUAAGCGUCGGUAAGGUGAUAUGAACCGUUAUAACCGGCGAUUUCCGAAUGGGGAAACCCAGUGUGUUUCGUCACACUAUCAUUAACUGAAUCCAUAGGUUAAUGAGGCGAACCGGGGGAACUGAAACAUCUAAGUACCCCGAGGAAAAGAAAUCAACCGAGAUUCCCCCAGUAGCGGCGAGCGAACGGGGAGCAGCCCAGAGCCUGAAUCAGUGUGUGUGUUAGUGGAAGCGUCUGGAAAGGCGCGCGAUACAGGGUGACAGCCCCGUACACAAAAAUGCACAUGCUGUGAGCUCGAUGAGUAGGGCGGGACACGUGGUAUCCUGUCUGAAUAUGGGGGGACCAUCCUCCAAGGCUAAAUACUCCUGACUGACCGAUAGUGAACCAGUACCGUGAGGGAAAGGCGAAAAGAACCCCGGCGAGGGGAGUGAAAAAGAACCUGAAACCGUGUACGUACAAGCAGUGGGAGCACGCUUAGGCGUGUGACUGCGUACCUUUUGUAUAAUGGGUCAGCGACUUAUAUUCUGUAGCAAGGUUAACCGAAUAGGGGAGCCGAAGGGAAACCGAGUCUUAACUGGGCGUUAAGUUGCAGGGUAUAGACCCGAAACCCGGUGAUCUAGCCAUGGGCAGGUUGAAGGUUGGGUAACACUAACUGGAGGACCGAACCGACUAAUGUUGAAAAAUUAGCGGAUGACUUGUGGCUGGGGGUGAAAGGCCAAUCAAACCGGGAGAUAGCUGGUUCUCCCCGAAAGCUAUUUAGGUAGCGCCUCGUGAAUUCAUCUCCGGGGGUAGAGCACUGUUUCGGCAAGGGGGUCAUCCCGACUUACCAACCCGAUGCAAACUGCGAAUACCGGAGAAUGUUAUCACGGGAGACACACGGCGGGUGCUAACGUCCGUCGUGAAGAGGGAAACAACCCAGACCGCCAGCUAAGGUCCCAAAGUCAUGGUUAAGUGGGAAACGAUGUGGGAAGGCCCAGACAGCCAGGAUGUUGGCUUAGAAGCAGCCAUCAUUUAAAGAAAGCGUAAUAGCUCACUGGUCGAGUCGGCCUGCGCGGAAGAUGUAACGGGGCUAAACCAUGCACCGAAGCUGCGGCAGCGACGCUGAUGCGUUGUUGGGUAGGGGAGCGUUCUGUAAGCCUGUGAAGGUGUGCUGUGAGGCAUGCUGGAGGUAUCAGAAGUGCGAAUGCUGACAUAAGUAACGAUAAAGCGGGUGAAAAGCCCGCUCGCCGGAAGACCAAGGGUUCCUGUCCAACGUUAAUCGGGGCAGGGUGAGUCGACCCCUAAGGCGAGGCCGAAAGGCGUAGUCGAUGGGAAACAGGUUAAUAUUCCUGUACUUGGUGUUACUGCGAAGGGGGGACGGAGAAGGCUAUGUUGGCCGGGCGACGGUUGUCCCGGUUUAAGCGUGUAGGCUGGUUUUCCAGGCAAAUCCGGAAAACUAAGGCUGAGGCGUGAUGACGAGGCACUACGGUGCUGAAGCAACAAAUGCCCUGCUUCCAGGAAAAGCCUCUAAGCAUCAGGUAACAUCAAAUCGUACCCCAAACCGACACAGGUGGUCAGGUAGAGAAUACCAAGGCGCUUGAGAGAACUCGGGUGAAGGAACUAGGCAAAAUGGUGCCGUAACUUCGGGAGAAGGCACGCUGAUAUGUAGGUGAAGUCCCUCGCGGAUGGAGCUGAAAUCAGUCGAAGAUACCAGCUGGCUGCAACUGUUUAUUAAAAACACAGCACUGUGCAAACACGAAAGUGGACGUAUACGGUGUGACGCCUGCCCGGUGCCGGAAGGUUAAUUGAUGGGGUUAGCGCAAGCGAAGCUCUUGAUCGAAGCCCCGGUAAACGGCGGCCGUAACUAUAACGGUCCUAAGGUAGCGAAAUUCCUUGUCGGGUAAGUUCCGACCUGCACGAAUGGCGUAAUGAUGGCCAGGCUGUCUCCACCCGAGACUCAGUGAAAUUGAACUCGCUGUGAAGAUGCAGUGUACCCGCGGCAAGACGGAAAGACCCCGUGAACCUUUACUAUAGCUUGACACUGAACAUUGAGCCUUGAUGUGUAGGAUAGGUGGGAGGCUUUGAAGUGUGGACGCCAGUCUGCAUGGAGCCGACCUUGAAAUACCACCCUUUAAUGUUUGAUGUUCUAACGUUGACCCGUAAUCCGGGUUGCGGACAGUGUCUGGUGGGUAGUUUGACUGGGGCGGUCUCCUCCUAAAGAGUAACGGAGGAGCACGAAGGUUGGCUAAUCCUGGUCGGACAUCAGGAGGUUAGUGCAAUGGCAUAAGCCAGCUUGACUGCGAGCGUGACGGCGCGAGCAGGUGCGAAAGCAGGUCAUAGUGAUCCGGUGGUUCUGAAUGGAAGGGCCAUCGCUCAACGGAUAAAAGGUACUCCGGGGAUAACAGGCUGAUACCGCCCAAGAGUUCAUAUCGACGGCGGUGUUUGGCACCUCGAUGUCGGCUCAUCACAUCCUGGGGCUGAAGUAGGUCCCAAGGGUAUGGCUGUUCGCCAUUUAAAGUGGUACGCGAGCUGGGUUUAGAACGUCGUGAGACAGUUCGGUCCCUAUCUGCCGUGGGCGCUGGAGAACUGAGGGGGGCUGCUCCUAGUACGAGAGGACCGGAGUGGACGCAUCACUGGUGUUCGGGUUGUCAUGCCAAUGGCACUGCCCGGUAGCUAAAUGCGGAAGAGAUAAGUGCUGAAAGCAUCUAAGCACGAAACUUGCCCCGAGAUGAGUUCUCCCUGACUCCUUGAGAGUCCUGAAGGAACGUUGAAGACGACGACGUUGAUAGGCCGGGUGUGUAAGCGCAGCGAUGCGUUGAGCUAACCGGUACUAAUGAACCGUGAGGCUUAACCU